rnacentral:misc_RNA from 1 species
GAUGAAGAACGCAGCGAAAUGCGAUAAGUAAUGUGAAUUGCAGAAUUCAGUGAAUCAUCGAAUCUUUGAACGCACAUUGCGCCCGCCAGUAUUCUGGCGGGCAUGCCUGUUCGAGCGUCAUUUCAACCAUCAAGCCCCAGGCUUGUGUUGGGGACCUGCGGCUGCCGCAGGCCCUGAAAACCAGUGGCGGGCUCGCUGUCACACCGGGCGUAGUAGAUUUUAUCUUGCUCAGGGCGUGCUGCGGGUUCCGGCCGUUAAAAAGCCUUUUUUACCCAAGGUUGACCUCGGAUCAGGUAGGAAUACCCGCUGAACUUAAGCAUAUCAAUAAGCGGAGGA